GGAUAUGUCUAUCUUACUAGUGCAAUAAAUUGUAAGCCCUAAAAUAGUUUCCUCUUUUUUUUGUAUUAUAUAUAGACGAACUAUAGAUGCCAAUAGAUUUUUUUUGUGGAUUGUGCUAAUGUCCCCUUUUUUUUCUUUUUUAAUAUUUCGAAUAAGUGAUCCUAGAUUCAAUCUUGAAUUCUACUCCAAAGUGUAGGGCAUGUUUUUGCUCAAGAUAUUGGAUUCCCGAAAGAUCAAGUUCAGCUUAUACUCUAUGUGUGGUGUAUGAGGAAACUAUAUCUAGGCAGAGUGAGCAUGAAGGUAUCGAUAUUGAGUAAAUCACCAAACUAGAGAUGCUAGCAUUGAUGAUCAGAAAAAUAUUGGUUGGUUGAAACAUGGUUCGAUUAACUUCUAACUCAGUAACAAAGAGAGAGUGGCAUUAGAGAACAAAUUAAAUGAUGAAGGAAAUACUGCUAAUUGAUCUAGAAAUUGAAGAGUGAAAAAAUGAACUGAACAGGUAAAUGAUGCUGGUGGCAGGCCUCAGAGAUACAAUUGAUGAAUCAGUAGAAAAAAAUACUGAUGAUAUGUUGAGAGAAAAUGAGAAUUCUAUGAAGAAGUGCACCUGGACUAUAGAGCUCCUCACCCAUUAAUUGUCUCAUCCACUAAAAAGGAAGAAGUUGGGGAGUGUUGAUAAAAUCCACUGUCCAUCCUAUGGAGAAAUCCUUUCCCUUGCUUAUUCUUUCGUUCGAGUGCUUUGUUGAAGAAGCCGAGUGAAUAAGCUUUAUAAGAAUGGAACUCCUAUAUUUGAACUAUGAUGGCAAGAAAAUGAACAAUAGUCCAUUACCUUUACUUCUUCUGAAAUUGACAAAGAAAACAUACAUUGAUCAAAUGGUGUUGUUGUUUUAUUUUUCUCUUUUAACCAAAGUAAUAAUAUUGAGUAUAUAAACUCUCGUAUCUAAACACAUACAGUGAGAUAAGAUGUAAAUUAUUUUUUUCUUUUUUCUUCCA